AUUGAACGCUGGCGGCAGGCCUAACACAUGCAAGUCGAGCGAGCGGCGGACGGGUGAGUAAUGUAUGGGGACUGCCCGAUAGAGGGGGAUAAAUACUGGAAACGGUAGCUAAUACCGCAUACUAUCGGAAAACCCAUAGGGGAGUAGCUAGUUGGUGAGGUAAUGGCUCACCAAGGAGACGAGCGCUAGCUGGUCUGGGAGGAUGCUCAGCCAGACUGGGACGUCGAAACGGCACAGACGCCUACGGAGGCAGCAGUGGGGAAUAUUGCACAAUGGGCGCGAGCCUGAGGCAGCCAUGCCGCGUGUAUGAAGGAGGCCUUAGGGUUGUAAAGUACUUUCAGCGGGGAGGCGUUACCCGCAGAAGAAGCACCGGCUAACUCCGUGCCAGCAGCCGCGGUAAUAC
rnacentral:rRNA from 1 species